UGGCGCUCGGCGGCCCCCACCCCGGCGCGGGCUGCGGCGGAGGGCGGGGCGCGGCGCGGGGAGCGGCGCCGAGAGCGGGAGCGCAGGGAGCCUCUUUGUUCUGUAAUCCCAGUAAGAUUGCCAGCCAUUCGCCCCGGCCCUAAUCCCAGCCCCGCGCAACACCACCCUCCAUUGGCUGCCAUUUACAUACGGGAUUAGCCCGCCCGGCCCGCCCCGCGCCCCGGCCUGGGCACCGCGGGGGGAGACCCGCGCCCGCGCGCGCGCUGCCCCAGCGCCCGCCGCCGGGGGAGCCUGCGGGAGGGGCGCCCGCGGCCUCGGCGCCUCCUGGCUGCCCGGCGCCGCCCCUCCGCCCCCCUAGCGCCGGCCGGGGCGGAUUAGGAAGCCGCGGCACAGCCCCGGAGAGCGGGGCGCAGCGGCGGGGCCGAGGGUCAAGGUCACUCGGCGGGCGCGGGGAGGAUCCCAGGAGGCCCCGAGCGCCCAAGGCCGGCGCCUCCACUCGGGAGCUGAAGUCGGCGCGGCUGGUCGCUCCCGCCUGGCCCGGGUUAUCUCGCAGUGGCUUGGCCCAGCCUCUCAGUCACCUGCACUGUUGGCCCUGCGGUGGAUAACCUGAUGAUGGGCCCCUUGCCAAGUGGCUACUGGGCGCUGCCUAUAUUUCGUGCCCAGCUCUCAUGUCGCCGCCUCCAGGAAGGAGUCCCUGAUGUCAGGCUGGUGGGCUGCCCGUCUGGGCCCAGUGGCCCACCGCCCCCUGCCUCUGCUCAGUCAGGUCUUCAGAGAGCUGGAUAAAGAAGAAAAGAGAGAGAGGAACCACGCCAGACACGCUGCUCUUCCUGCCUGGCCCCUGAGUGGUUCCGCCCCGGGCCGGGCCAGCUGUGUAACUGCGGGAUGAAAAUGGGGGCUCGUUGUUCAAAAAGCAGGAAAAACGUGUCCUUAAAGGGACGAAAGUAUAGAGCUUUCCCCUUUCUUCCGCUGUCUUUCUUGUCACUUAUCAUGGUGGUUUUUUAUUUG